rnacentral:rRNA from 1 species
UACGGAGGGUGCAAGCGUUACUCGGAAUUACUGGGCGUAAAGCGUGCGCAGGCGGUUUGUUAAGUCCGUUGUGAAAGCCCCGAGCUCAACUUGGGAAUUGCAGUGGAUACCGGCAGGCUGGAGUACGGUAGAGGAAGGUGGAAUUCCCGGUGUAGCAGUGAAAUGCGUAGAUAUCGGGAGGAACACCAGUGGCGAAGGCGGCCUUCUGGACCAGUACUGACGCUCAUGCACGAAAGCGUGGGGAGCAAACAGG